GGUGAACGCUGGCGGUAUGCCUAACACAUGCAAGUCGAACGGCAGCACAGUAAGCUCUUGCUCUUACGGGUGGCGAGUGGCGGACGGGUGACGAAUGCAUCGGCAUCUACUUUUUCGUGGGUGACAACGUAGGGAAACUUAUGCUAAUACCGCAUACGACCUACCGGUGAAAGCAGUGGAUCUUCAGACCUUUCGCGUUUCAAUUAGCUGGUGUCGGAUUAGCUAGUUGGCUGGGUAAAGGCCCACCAAGGCGACGAUCCGUAGCUUGUCUGAGAGGAUGAUCAGCCACACUGGAACUGAGACACGGUCCAGACUCCUACGGGAGGCAGCAGUGGGGAAUAUUCGACAAUGGGCGAAAGCCUGAUCCAGCAAUACCGCGUGAGUGAAGAAGGUCUUCGGAUUGUAAAGCCCUUUUGUUGGGAAAGAAAAGCAGCAGGUUAAUACCCCGCUGUUCUGACGGUACCCAAAGAAAAAGCAACGGCUAACUACGUG
rnacentral:rRNA from 1 species